CAGACAUUCUGUCUACUCAUUUACAAGGCUAUAGUAUUUUGAAAUUCCUCAGUUUCAUUCAUCAGCACAUCUCGCCGGCAAAGCCCCCCGUCAAAAGUAUCAUUAGAUUUUGGUUCCGUUUCUCACAGAAGAAGAACAUAUACGAGUAUACAUGGCAUUCCGGGCGUAGAAAAAAGGUUAUUCAUAAUCAUUUGUUACGCUUAAUUGUUGUCUUUGCGGUUUACCUCAUGGCUGCUUUUGUGUGCUGACCGCAAAUUGAUUUUAAAUUCAUUUCUCAGUCUCGGCCUGUGGGGCGGCAAAUAACAAAAGCCGGAACGGGUACUUUGGGUCUGAGAAUUUUUGAUUAUUGUCAUUAUUGAGGCACAACUAGAAAUGGAAACAUUUAAAAAUAGAUUGUGUGGAAACAAGAAUAUUUUUCCCACCAUGCAGCUCAACUGUGGCCUACAGCUUCCCCAGUUUAUGACUAUUUGCUGUUUAUUUUUGUGAAAUUUAAAUCCGCACGCGUUCUCUCCUUCGGCCUGGCUGGUUUAUUAUCCUUUUGCCGGCACUUUUUUAUGAGUUAAGCCAGACGCGGCUUAUCUAUGUGACAAUGCGGUAGGCACCACGAGCGAAAUGGUAAUGGUUUUCGGGGAGUGUGUGGCAACGCCUUUAUUGCCAGGCCUACCAACCCAACCACCCAGGAUAUACCGUCGCCCUUCGCUUCAUUCAUAAAUAAAUUAAAUAAAAAUAUUUUUUCAAGCCCGCAAGCCAUGCAACAAUAACAAAUAAGCGGAGCGGGGAUAAAGAACUCGACGAAACUCAACCGGCGGCAAGAAAUCUGCAUAAUGAAGCGUAAUACGCAAAUGGUGUGGAGUUGUGAUUGGACCGGAUUCCGCAAAUUGAGUGCAAAUCCGCGAAUCUGAGGUAGCUGAUGUGAAGGAACUUAAAGCCCCUGCAAGCCAAUACUUAAGUUUUUCGAGGAAUCAUAUCCGCAACAAGCGCAUGUUUCCAUAAUGGCCACUCAAAAUCACGUCCUUAGAAUCGAGCACCCCUGAAGUUAUUAAAAGAUUUGUGGCGCUCAGGGUAGAGGUCAUGGGGAACCACCCUAUAUGAAUGAAUCAACUCCGGAACUCCCACCAUUUCAAAUCCAUUGGCGAUAUUGGCCAGUCGGAUUCGGCACGCCUCUUUGGCAGCAUUUUGUUUGGGCGUGUUAAAAGUUAAAAUAAAUCAAACAGCCAUAAAUUUGCCGCUUUUGGCAAUAUGUGGGGAAUUCGAUACGUUCAUCAAAUGUAAAAGGGUUCAAGCGAUGCGUUUGCUAUCUAUCAAUAAAUGUCUCUAUAUGUGUGCGGACCAGACGCCCCCUCACAUAUUUUAUCGUCGGCAGGACAGCGCCAGGACCCAAACGAUACGCAUCCUUUUACCAAACUCUGUCUGUCUGUCUGCUUGUCUGUCUGGGCCGGAAAGAAUGGGUACGAGUAUCACCCAAAGUGGAGCAGCAGCUUAUGAAAAAUAUGGCGCAAAGGGGUUAAAUGACGUAUGCAUUGCAGCCAUUUCUCUUAUUCUCCGAGCCACUGACUCUUCAUUUGCCUGCCGAUGUCUUAGUUACCCAAAGCGGAAGCUCCAAAUUUAUCAUUGCCCCGACAGGACUGUGUUUGCAUUUUAUGAGUGGCCAAAAGGUUUCGAAAAUAUGUAUUUUUGGGCACACAAAAAAUGUGAUCAAUAACGCUUGAGGUGGAAUAGGACUCUCUCUGUGGGAAAACAAAUGUGCAGUCAUUUUCGGUUUUUGGGUGAGGGAAAGUUUGAUCUGGACUAAAGUGAAAUAGAAUGAUGGCUUAAGUGGAAAGGGAAAGGAUAGUAAACACUGCCUGCAAAAGCUCUGAUUAAGUCUGGUUUUCACUGGGACGGCAGAAUGUCGAAUCCCUGGACUAAACGAAAGUAAUUUGCUUCACCUCUCAACUGUGAGUUAUUUUUGGUCUGAUUAAUGCCGGGAAUCGGCAGAGAUAUUUCAUUUAAAUUAUACAUGAGCAGUAAAUAGAAAUACUCCCUUCGAGGGAAACAUGGACAGUCCCCAGAGCACUAGGAAGCCACUCCAAUAAAAUAUAUUGUACGAUUGUCUGAUUAUCAGCACAACCGCAAAACAAUUUAAUACUAAAACCCAAGUCACAUGACCAGGCACGCGUUCCAGUUCCAAUUUCCCAGUCCCAUUCCAAAGUUGUUGGGGGUUGGAGAACCACACUCAUAUGAUAAAUGCACAAAAUCUGCAACAAACUGUUGAAAACACGCGCUACAUCAGAUCAGAGAUCGAGGUCAGGGGUAGCAACAUGGUUUUAUGCGGCAUAUAGAAUUACAAUCUAAAUGCAAAAUGUGCACUCUUCCCUUUGACAAAUCGCCGGGAAGAGUCGAGUUACCCGCUCCGAAGAUCUAUAUUCCCUGAUUCCGAUUAGCAUUGUUGUAGGGCUCUGCCCACAAAUUUGUGCAUUUGCCCGACCAGGUGAAAGUCAAGCAACCCCCAACCAGUCAAAAACCUCAAUAACAAUAACUGACAAUGGAAAGGCAAGGACAUAAAUCUCCCUGGCCAACAAUGCGGGAAAAGGAUAAUUUCGAAAAACCAUUAAUGGCCCGCGCACAUUAACAUUCUGUUUUGACAGGCGGCAGUCAAAUGAGCGCAGGACACAUGGACACAUGGACACGGGAUCCCUGCAGGAAAUGCAAGCUGCAGGCCAAAAACCUCAGACAGAACCUCCUGCAACUGACAUUUACAUGAAAUAAAUAACCGAGAUCGAUGCCGUGUUCCAAGAAAUCGCUGUCACCAACCAGGAAGCAUUUAUCAUUGUUCGGAACUAAAAGAGGUUUGUUAUGCACAGUUAGUGAAGUGUGAACGGUUUGGUGGUUGAAGGUCAAGAGGGUAGUAAACCUUAUUUAUUAAAAAAAAAUAUUAUUAAAUAUGCUGCUUACCACUAUCAUAGAGAUGUAUUUACAUCCAUUAUUUUAUGAUACCUUUUAUGACAUAUUCAAAAACUCCAGAAAUGCUGGUAUACCCUUAAAAUUCUUGUGCCAUCGAUUAGAACUUUCAGCUCCCCUUUUGCAAAUGUCAAAAACAAGUGGUUGCGUUUCCAAUAUUUAUUUGCAGGACAGGAGCUUAGCAACCUUAAACAAAACGUCUAAUCAAAUCAGACUUUACCAGCAUCCGGGAAAACUUAAUCGCUUGAUGGGCUUAGGGUUGCCAGCGGGCUAAAUGCGCAACGCGCCUCCAUGAAAAUUGUCAACAUCAAAGGCAUUUCCCAGUUAAUAAAUGGGCAAUAGGAAAUGUUAUUUAUGGCAUUAUGCCAAUAAGACGCUGCCUAAUUUAGGAAGCGCGUGGCCAGAAAAAAAACCAAAUGGAAUACAACGAAAUACAGACACAGAUACGCGAUUGUAAAAUGCGAUUCAUUUUUAAUCCAAUUUGCAUAUGAAAUGACACAAAGCCCGCUAAAUGCAACCCUUAAUAAGUCACCAAGGGACCUUUUGGGCGGUGGUCGCUUUGCGAGCACUUGAAAAUUUUGUGUAAAUCCCCUCGCAACCCACCAACUCACCAAUCCACCAACUACCACUACCGCCACCCUUCGCAUUCACAAUUGUCAAGGUUGGGCUUUAUUUUAUUUCCGGGCAUUUCCUACUCAACUAUAAAUAUGUCAAAGUUUCUGGUUACCAUGGGCCAUUGGUUCAACUUCCACCCCGCUUCUGCUGACCGAAAAUUUUUAAGUAUUGUCAAUAUUAGUAAAUAUUAAAAUGUGUAAGGGUUGCUUUCAACCACCAUGCUCAAAUGCCAAAAUUUCUGUAAGCCGCAAGCAUUACAGGCACUGCCAAUUUUUCACUUGCCUAUGCAAUUUGUGUAAUUUUUUAUUAAAGACAUUAGUCAAAUAAGUGCAUACACACGGGGCCGAUCGCUUCUCAUAUGACGCCGCCGGGCAUUAAUCUGAAAUGGCAAACGCCCAUUCGCCAGGGAAACCGGAGCAGGAGCAGCAGCAGCAGCAGGAGGAGAAGGAGGAGGAGCACAUGCAGCAUCCAUUCGAGGACAACCCAAACCACCCACCCAAAAGCCAUUCAUUUUCGGGCGACCCACCGUGUGCGUCAUUUGUUACAUUUAUUAUACAUUUUAUAUUUUCUUUUUUUUUUUUGUACGUACUGUUGCUCUCAGUGUUUUCGAUCUAAACGGAUUUGGUUACCCGGCACUCACACUUUGGCCAUCGCCUGGGAGAAAAUUAAACUUUUCGCUUCGCUUUUGUGCGGGGCACAAAAACAUUUCAUGCACUUAUGACACCCACCCACCCAGCCAACCAACCACCCCCUGAAAAAACCAGCCAAACUUCCCCCUUUUUGGGCAAUGACUUUUCCGGACUCGGACCGAGCCCAGUUUUUAUUGCGGCCCUGCUUUAUAUUGGCUUCAUUUUUAGUUACUCAGCUGUUUCGGUUUCCUUUCUUUUUCCGAUUCAAUAUACUAUAUAUGUGUGUGGAUGAGAGAGAGAUGGAAGAGUUGCAACAGAAUGUUGCAGGGGUUAAUGUUGCCAUCGGGCUCGCUGUUAUUGUUGUCACGAUUUUCACAUAUUUCAUAAAUCCGACCAGAUUGCUAAUUUGUGCUCUAAAUUUGCACAAAUGCGGAAAUAUUUGGUUAGGGCUUUUGGUUUCCAUUUUUACCCAUCCGACCAACUCUGUCAUUAUGAAAUUUAUUGGUUUCUAUUUAUCAAAUUGGAUUUUUUGCUGCGGCUUAAAAGAUUGAAAGUUGGUCAAACAAACGGCGAAAUGACAAUUAUUUGGCAUCUGCUGAAGCUUAAUUCGAUUUAUGCUUUCCAUCCAGCGCUCUAUUUAUUCAUGUGAUUACUCGGUUCCAAGUUACUGCCUCUAACUUAUUAGGCUAAUUUCAACUCAUUCUUGUCACUUUUUCGAAGUCGAUUUUGAUUGAGGGUCUCCGUGACUGGUCGUACCUUGUGUGAUUAACUUAAUUUAACAGUUGCACGUAUCACAUUUAUUGGUUCUGUGGACACUCACUCAUGUGUGUACCCCAAUAAAAUAACGCCAUAACUAUAUCAACAAAUGCUGUCCCUACGAGUAUUUACCUUUGCCUUCGACAUCAAGUUGGACUAUUAAACUAAUUUCCAGUUGUCAUUGACGAGCACGCACAAGGCAACUUACUACUCCUCUCUUCCCAGCAUAUAAGUGUGUUUUUCAGAUCCAACUGAAGCACGCAUGGCAAAUGGGUAAACUUAAACUUCCCUCAAGGCUCGAGUUGUCGAGGAGUUCCGAUUUCUGCACUAGGCUACUGCAUCCUGUUUCCCCUUUCGACUUUUAUGCAAAUCAAGUUGACUGGUUGCAGGAUGUGCCAGGUAGCUGGCUCUACCUCUACAACUGCCUCGUAGGCAUUUCUGUGCAAAUUCCAUAUUUACUGCCAAUGUUAAUUGCUCCGAAUUGCACUAAAGUGUUGACUUUUGUGACGCACAGGAAACUGAAAGCUCGCCAUGAAAAGCCAGAAGUUGUGAUUCCAUCGGACACUCGACUGGACCAAGGAGUAAUUGGGCUGCACAUUCAAUUAUGCAUUGGCAGGCCAGAGCUGCUGGCUGAGAAGAGUUUAAAAAUUGAACUUUUUGUGAAAACUGAGCCUUCAGGGGCUUAAAAACUCGGUUUUCACUCUCACUCACUCUCAAUCAACGCAUAAAAUAAAAAGAAAAUAAAUAGGUUUCUGUUCUUGCAACCGCUCUACGCUCACUUACCAUUUUUCCAGGGAAUCAUUUGCUCCUCCAGGCAGCAACAUAUGCCGGAUUAAGGAUAUCCUUCGAGCUCGUCUUGGCACACAUGGCAUACAUCUCCCUCCUUUCCCUUUACCAUUUCAUUGUCAUUCUCAUUGUCAAAUGCCGCCUUAGUCUCGUCUUACGUGCUGUGUUAAUUAUACUAAUUGCACUAAAUCACUUGAAAAUUUCGAAAAGAGCUGGCAGAGUUCCGUAAAAAAUAGAAACUGAAAUUAGGGCGUAGCACAUUUCACCUAUCUUCCAUCUUCCAUAUGGGGACUUAACGAAUGUCAACGCAGCCUGUGGGAAAAUGCCUUUUGGAAGUGCUGGUGUGUAAUCCUAGCCAUCCUGGCAUGUGGUAUUCGAGAAUAAAUUGGAGAAUCAACGCCUAUGGGCGGGUUAAUACUGGCAAAAUACCAUAAUAUAAUAAGCCCAGUCCUUUUCAUGUAAACGUAAUUAAUGGGUAAAGACGCUUCAAGUUGGGAGUGAAGUUACAAAGAUGUAUGUAUACCAGAUGAAAAUCACGACGUAAGAGACUUUAAAAAGAAGACCUUUGCGAGAUUCAUCUACUUCAGGGAGUCACCACCUACCAGCCAUCAUUUUACCCCUUGGUGAUGCAUAUGUACAGCAUAAAAUACCUCAGAGAUACUUUAUCUUAAGAUGCAAGCGAAAAUUUGCUUUUAGCAAAUUGUUUCAGUGAACUUUGAACUCAUUAAAAGCAUUUAAAAUUGAACUACUCACUUAAAUCGUAAUGAUCUUUGGUUAGUAAUCGAUAAACUAAGACACAACCAUUAAUCAACGAAUUACACCAAAUUUAAUUACAGUUUAAUUGCACUUUAAAAUUGCAAUUACAUUUU